UACGUAGGUGGCAAGCGUUGUCCGGAUUUACUGGGCGUAAAGAGCGCGCAGGCGGUCGUACAAGUCGCGUGUGAAAGCCCCCGGCUCAACUGGGGAGGGUCACGCGAUACUGUUCGACUCGAAGGCAGGAGAGGGAAGCGGAAUUCCCGGUGUAGUGGUGAAAUGCGUAGAUAUCGGGAGGAACACCAGUGGCGAAGGCGGCUUCCUGGCCUGUUCUUGACGCUGAGGCGCGACAGCGUGGGGAGCAAACGGG
rnacentral:rRNA from 1 species